GCUCUCUCUUCACACUUCCCUUCUCAACUGCAAAGUAAUAGUCAAGCCUCUCUGGGAACAUGGAAGACAUCCCUGAGGGGCAACAUCCUCCAACAAUGGGAAGAGCCCUGGGACAGCCAGUACCCAGUGGAUCCUGGGAUAGGAUGGAGGGGACAGGGCUCUGGGGUGGCCAUGGCUACUGCUGCUGCUGCUGCUCUGAGCCUCGGGAUUCCAAGCUGUAGGUGAAGAGGAGAAACAAAAGUGACUGCUAGAUGGAGCGACCUUGACCACAGCCUGCUCUUAAAGUGUCAUGCUCUACUCCAGCCUGAAGGCCUGGCAGUGGAAAAUGGCACUAGCCAAGAGAACCAACAAAGGCAAUCUGGAUCCAGGGUAAGUUGUGUCUGAAUGAGGGUUGUUACAUGGAGGCCAGAGUAAAGCAGUGUAAAGGCUUAGUUGGGGCCCUCAGCUCAGGCCCCACGUGUGGACACCGGAGAGCCAGGCUGGACCACACGGAGGACUUUCUCCUGCUCCAGGUGGGCCAAGGGAGUCCUGAACCCUAGCAGGAAGAAUGACCUUUGCUUCUAUUUCUAUCCUGAAGCCCAGUGCAAGCCUUGAAUGUCAUCACCUCAAGUCAGCAAAAGUCCCAUCCACCAGCCCCAGAGGAGAGGAGCUGGGGGUUGGGGAGCUAAGGACAUACAGGUGUAUUAUACCCCUGCUUACAAGGCACCACCUGGAAAAAGUGGCCCAGGUGCAGUGGAAUCUGAGUAAUCAAGAGCCUCUUCCUUCCUUGGAGUCAAAGGAAUGGGAUCAACAGAAGUCCGUCCCUACCCAGACUUGCUGGGGAGUGGGGGCCAGAGGUGGGGGUCAGAAAACACUACCUGGAGGAGGAGAAACACUAAAGGCACAAAGGGAGUGGUGUUCCAUGCCAGGGGCAAGUUGUGGGAACGCAUGCACAGGGUAUGCUGCCUACAGAGGUAGACAGUUGGGCUGAGUGGCGAGAAGAGGGUAAGGUUAACGCAGUACCAUAAAUUCAAAUGGUGGAGAGCUUUAAAGGCCAUGUAGUCACAUGCACUUUGUCCUAUAAGCAAAGGGCUUUUCCUAGGCCCCCUGAGGGGAGGAGUGAGGGUCUGGGUGCAGAGUGACCCAGCAGCUAUGCAGGAAGUCUGGAGAAGGGAGGUGUUAGGUGCAGGAGACCAGGUAGAUUCCUUUGGGGUGAGAGGGUUAAGAUCCUGGGAAAAGUAGAGGCCUCAUCUUCAAAGGGUGCGAACCCCUGUGUGGCUGCUCUCAUGGCCAGGAGCAGGCAGAUCCCCACCCUUUUGGACUCUGGGGGGUCAAACCUAGGAUUCCAGUGCUCGCCCUUUCCCAGGACCUGCCAGUGUUGGCGACUGUUCUGACAUGUGGAUUCAUCUUGUUCUCAGUCCUGUUUGCCUCUGUCCAGAAACCCCGGGCUCGCUCAGGCAAGACAGCCUCCUGGAGUGUCCCCAGGACACAGCACACCCAGGGAAGCAGACUUAACCUUCCAGGAGCUGACGGGCAUGCCUUCCUCCCCUAACAAAUACCACACUCCACUCUGUUCAGUGGAAGAGACAAGUGCGUCCGUCCCGACUCUGAGUAGCUGUAGACCUUUACCCUCAUGGCUCCUGUGGCUGCAGGCAGGAGGCCAGGGUCCACAUGGAGCUGUUUGCCGACAUUGCUUUUGUCCACGAUAGCCUUUGCUUGGAAAAUGAAUGUUUAGGCUGUGAGCAUAAACUACUUGUAACUACAUGCCUCCUUCGCCACAUCUCACUGUCUAUAUUAACGCGCCUUUGCUAUUCCACUGUUCUGGUUAGUAUUACUUUACUUUUCCAGGCAUUUUCUUGCCCAGGCAAAUGGUUUCAUUGUUCAUUAUAGAAACUUCCUGGAAGAUCCAGUGACUCUUCAAUGUGGCGAGCAUCAAGAGGUCGUUUGCACCCUAAGAAUCUUUGAAUCGCUGCCUCCACUGCCUCACCUUGCUGUUCCUAGCCAAUCCUGGAGUGUUGUAUUGCCAUCUGUCCCCAGUCCUGGUGCAGCCCCUGCUAUGCAAAGCCUGCCUUGAACUGAACUUCUCAAUAAAUUCUGACCUUGCCUUCCUCUAAGAUGCUGCCCGCAGCUCUGCCGAGGCGAUGUUCUCCCUGACCGCCACCAGCAAUAAACUCAGCUUUCUCUUCUCUGAAGGUCAUGUUGCUGAUAUUUGGGAAGCCAGCGGGCGACCAUGUAAUUAAAUCCACCUGUUUUCCCUUUAUGACUUGGGUUUGAUGAUCUUAUUUAAGAUGUACUUCCCAAUCUGCAGCACGAUAAUAUUUUGAAUAUUGUCUCUUAGAAACUGUGCAAAGAGGGGCGCCAGGGUGGCUCAGUUGGUUGAGUGUCAGAUCUUGGUGUCAGCUCAGGUCAUGAUCUCCAGUGUGUGAGUUUAAGCCCCACAAUGGGCUUUGC